UGCAGACAAUUCACGCUGGCACAGCGCUUGUGAUUGCAUCUCCCUCUGCUGGUUAGCCCCAGAGUUGGACUGUGCUUUGUCCUUUAGAAGCAGUCCUGUUGCUCAAAUUAUAAAAACCUGUUGGCACGGAAGGAGCAGUUCAGACACUACUGUGGUGUUUGUUACAGGAGCAGACACGCCGCGUGAGACGAUCACUGUCGCAGGGUACUUUGGUAGCCAUUCACGUCAGGCCAGCAACAAGGAACACGGAAGCAACAGGUACCACAUGAAGCAAAUGGAAGGACCUGAAUACUGACAUAUUGGAGCAAAGAACAGAUGAUUCUUCCAGUCAAGGCAAAGCAUUCACGAAACAGUCCUAAUACUCUGGAGACGUAUGCAGCAAGAUGGUAGCUAUAUCUACACUGAGGAAAGGAUAAAAUUA